CCUUCUUUUUCCCGCUUUUUUCGGAAUUACUGGGCGUAAAGGGCGCGUAGGCGGCCCGCUAAGUCGAACGUGAAAUCCCCAGGCUCAACCUGGGAACUGCGUCCGAUACUGGCAGGCUUGAAUCCGGGAGAGGGAUGUGGAAUUCCAGGUGUAGCGGUGAAAUGCGUAGAUAUCUGGAGGAACACCGGUGGCGAAGGCGAGUCUCUGGCCUAAUACUGACGCUGAUGCGCGAAAGCUAGGGGAGCAAACGGGA
rnacentral:rRNA from 1 species